ACACUACAUGCUUUUUAUUUUUUUAAUCAUUUUUAUUGAUUUACUAUCAUCUCGGCGAAAUAAUUAACGACUACAAUGUAAAAGAAAUUGUGAAACUUUGUAAAGGUCGUAAUAGCUCCAAAGACAUCGGCUGGCAAUUGGCAUCCGGACAGUCUCACUCAUUUUUACCAUGUGGCGACGUGGCAAUGGGCGGGAAUCAAAGAGUGUGUAGGAGCAAAUCGUUCCUGAAACUCAAGGCUAUUUUAAAUUUAAAUAUUCAUUAGCAAUCGAAAAAUUUCCUCAAUUGUCAUUGGUUUACUGAGCAUUCAGCCUGUUUGUCCAGCUCAUUUUUCCAUUUUAAGUCUCAUUCGUUGCAUAGUUGUGCUCCAAGGAACUCCCAACUUACGACACCGUCUAAAUGGAAUAUCAACUGUCUGAUGAAAGGAUUUUGAAAAGGAUCCCUUGACUGAUUGGAAGUAAUCGUCGACGGAGUUCUUGGCGGACGGAAAAACAAGGAAACAUAUUUGAAUCUACCCAGUGAGACGAUUGGUUCCACUUCAGACAUCUAGUGCAACGCAAAGUAUACGACUGCUACGAUAAUCGGCGACUCCAAUUCAACAUCAUCGUUACAAGAGAUUCUGGACGGCGACCCCACUGAGCCGCUUGUGAUCGAUCCUCUCAAUGCCGGCGAUGGUAUCGCCACUGGAAUGCCUGAUCGUCCUACUCGUUUGAUUCUCGGCUGACGCUACGCUCAAACGGCCUAAAUUAUU